AUAUAUCGUCAUUUCAGAUGCUCAUUUCAGCCAUGAUCAUUUAUUCCAGAAGCACUUGUUAGGACGUUAUACUUAUUUCCUUUAAGUAUAAGGUCCUGUGUUGACUACUGAGAAUGAAAAACUGAACAAGACAGAAAGUCCCACCUUGAAGAGCUUCCAAGUGUAGCGAGUCUCCUGGCAUCAGGUAUGGCUGGUAUCAUGGAAACACUCGGCUGACUGUCCAGGAGAUGCUGGUUAAGAGGCGGAAGGUGAUGGCGUGAAAUCAAGUUCAGGUGCAGGGGACACUCCUGAGAGCAUUCCUGCCCUGUCCCCGUGGCCUGAGCGGCCUUCUCAGUUGCACAGGUGGUCCACGUCACUGGAAUGCAGAACGGAAGGACUCUGAUCUCCCACCUUGCCUUCUGAUUGUGAGUCAUAAGACCCUCGCCAGAGGUGGCCCUGCCCUACACCCGAGGGGAAGGAAUGCUGGCAUCAUGAAGCUUCCAUAAAAAUUCAAGAGGAUUGAUUCUGGGAGCUUCUAGAGAGCUGGCCACAUGGAGGUUCCUGGAGGGUGUUGCACCAGGGAGGGUAUGGAAACUCUGUGCCCCUUUCACCACACCUUACCCUACACGCCUCUUCAUCUGGAUCCUUUGCAAUAUCCUUCAUGAUACAUUGACAAACAUUUGCAGGUUUGGAAAAUAAUGUUGACAGACUGAUUCUGAAUCUCCCACACAUCCUCUCCAAAAAUCCAUAAAGUUCACAUUGAGAGCAAACGAAACCAUAUAGAAUCCAUGGAGACAGAGAAUGUCAACACUGAAAUCUUCAAUUUACCACAAGCGAGAAUAAAAUAGACAAACGCCAACAGAGCUCACAUAAACCGUAUUAGACAUCCGAGGAUGCAGGCUGGAGGAGUUUAAAGAACUCUGCAAUAAAAAUGUAGAUGAAUGUGAAAGAUGUGCAGAAGACAGGAAAAAUCACGCCUCAGUAAGAAAAUAUGCACUAAUAAAUGCAAAAAUAUGGAACGUGGAUUGAGACACAAUUCAGAGAAAUGCUGUAAGAAAGGUACUCAAACAAGUGCUAAAUUGCAGCAUUAGAUAGUCAUUUCAGAUACAUGGGGUGACACUUACUGGAGACAAAAAGGUGAGGAGGAAUAAUGAAUCAGACAGAAAAAUGAAGGAUUUUGUGAAGCUUCAGUCUUUUCCUUUUUCCUAUACUACCAUCACCACCACCACCAUCGUCCACAAAAAGUCCUGCCUAGCAGAAUGCCAGCCUGCCAGAAGAAACUCUCAAACUAGGAACUCUGUCCACAAAAUGAAUAGGAAUAGAAGAAAGCAGAUUGUACACAGGCCAAUGUAAAAAAAAAUAAAAGCUUUUGUGUUGGUUAAAUAUCACCCCAAAAACUGUAACACAGUGCUUCAAGAUGAAUUACAUAUUUUUAAACAAGUACUGGGGAAUAUGAACAACAAUAACAAUAAAACAAAACAAAACAAAACAAAAAAACAAAAAACAACAACAACAAAAAAAACAAGAAAACAGUAUGAACCAGGGAAAAAUUCUAUGACCUCAAAUUAUAAAAACACAGUAGGAAAUUAAACAAGAGUUGAUUGAACUUGAAAAAAGAAAUAGAAGGCAUAAUUAUAUAAUAAAGACUAAAUUAGAGACCCCCAAAAAUACAUUAAAAAUUUAAUAAUUAGCAUUACAGAAAACCAGAAAAACAAUCAAGAGAAUAAAAAUGAUAUAAAGAAGUAAAUAAAGAGGAAUUACAGACAGAAAAGAAGGUCCAACAUACAUAUAAUCGAUGUUUCUGAAGUAGAAAACCAAAAUGAUGAACAAAAUUAAUACUUCGAACUAUAUCCAAAAAUACACAAUGAAAAUGUAUUUUCAAGGAAAAUGACUUGGAACAAUUAUCUUUCAGCCAUAUGCUAGUAAAACUGUUAGACUUCAACAAUAAAAACAAAUUUAUUAUUUUCAAGCAGAAAGAUAAAAUAACUUAUAAAUCAGAAAACAACCUAGAUGGAGUUUGAUUCCUUGAAAACAAC
rnacentral:lncRNA from 1 species